GAUGAACGCUGGCGGCGUGCUUAACACAUGCAAGUCGAACGGACAGACCAGACUCUUGCUUUUUUGAUGUUAGCCGAGGACGUGAGAGUAACACGAGGAUACCCUCCCUUUCUGUCUGAGAUCAUUACGAGACUCCGGCUCUUAUACCGGAUAAUCUUCUGCACCGUGUGGUUUAAAAGUGAUAGUCGGUCGUGGUGUCACUAAUAGCUGGAUCCGCGCUGUAUUAGCUAGUUGGUCAGGUAACGGCUUACCAAGGCAACGAUGGAUAGACGAACUGAGAGAGUGAUCGGCCACACUGGAACUGAGACACGGACCAGACUCCUAAGGGAGGCAGCAGUAGGGAAUGGUACGCAGUAGGCGAGAGCAUGACAGAGCAACGCCGAGUGAGAGAUGGAGGUCCUCGGAUCGUAAUACUCUGUUAUUAGUGAAGAACAGAUGUGUAAGUAAAUGAGCACAUAGUGACGGUAACGGGUAAGAAAGCAACGGCUAACUACGUG
rnacentral:rRNA from 1 species